CCAAUCGAACGUGGAGAUAGCUGGUUCUCCCCGAAAUAGCUUUAGGGCUAGCCUCGAGGAGAGAUUGCAGGCGGUAGAGCACUGAUCAGGAGAGGGACCUACCCGGUUACCAAACCCAGUCAAACUGCGAAUGGCUGCAAUUAUACUCGGGAGUCAGACUACGACUUAUAAGGGCCGUGGUCAAAAGGGAAACAGCCCAGAUCAUCAGCUAAGGUCCCAAAUGCCGUGCUAAGUGGCGAAGGAUGUGGCGUUUCAUAAACAACCAGGAUGUUGGCUCAGAAGCAGCCACCAUUUAAAGAGUGCGUAAUAGCUCACUGGUCGAGAGACGCUGCGCCGAAAAUGUCCGGGGCUCAAGCACGGAACCGAAGCUAUGGCAUGACAGCAAUGUCAUGGGUAGGGGAGCGUUCUUAUAAGGAAGAAGCAUUACCGUAAGGAGAUGUGGACAUAUAAGAAGUGAGAAUGCCGGUAUGAGUAUCGAAAAGAAAGGUGAGAAUCCUUUCCACCGAAAGCCCGAGGGUUCCUGAGCAACGAUCGUCGACUCAGGGUAAGUCGGGACCUAAGCCGAGGCGGAGACGCAUAGGCGAUGGACAACAGGUUGAAAUUCCUGUACCGGAUGGAGUCAAUUGAGCGAAGGAGCGACGCAGGAGGGCACAUGAUCGCGCGGCUGGAAGAGCGCGUCCAAGUGCGUAUGCGUAGAGGGAGGCAAAUCCCCCUUUACAGAAGCAGAGACAUGAUGGGGAGUUAAAGGAGACUUUGACGAACUCAUGGAUCCCACACUGCCAAGAAAAACUUCUAGCGAGACGAAAUCCGCCCGUACCGUAAACCGACACAGGUAGGCGGGGAGAGAAUCCUAAGGUGCGCGGGAAAACCCUCGUUAAGGAACUCGGCAAAAUGCCUCCGUAACUUCGGGAAAAGGAGGACUCAUGUAGUGUGAAGGGCAGUAACGCGUGGAGCAUGAAUGAGUGGCACAAGAGAGGCGCAAGCGACUGUUUACCACAAACACAGGUGCCUGCUAAAGCGAAAGCUGAUGUAUAGGUGCUGACACCUGCCCGGUGCUGGAAGGUUAAGAGGAGGGGUUAGACUUCGGUCGAAGCUCUGAAUUGAAGCCCCAGUAAACGGCGGCCGUAACUAUAACGGUCCUAAGGUAGCGAAAUUCCUUGUCGGGUAAGUUCCGACCCGCA
rnacentral:rRNA from 1 species